GCUGCGAACAGCCUCACAUGAUGACUCUUCUCUCUCUGAUGGCUGUGGUGGUGAUGAUCAUCAAACCAAAGCCUCUAAGAAGUUGACUGAAGAGGCUGUUCCUUG
rnacentral:snoRNA from 1 species